UUGGUAACAGAGCAGAACGCCUUAGGAUUAAAUCAGAUAUAUAUUUAUAUUCAAGUACUGAUAUUGAGUGGUCAGAGCAAAAUGUUAAGUUGAAUGAUGUUGAGCACAAGUUAAUAGAUCAAGGACGUCAACUAAAGGUUCAACAGAAAAAGAGUUGGUUAUACUAAAAAGACAAUUCAUCUUUGUAUAAAAAGUUGAAUCUCUCACUUCCUUCAACCUUGUCUGAGCCUGCAGAAGAUGAGCUUGGGACAGGCUCUAGUGAUGAUAAGGAUGAUAACAUAAGUGAUUGAUGUCAGGAGUAUAUGUUUUUUCUGAUUUAGAUUAAGAAAUUUUUAGGUGAAUUAGUUAGUAUAUUUUAUUUUAUUCAUGAUA